AGGGUUUGAUUAUGGCUCAGGACGAACGCUGGCGGUGCGCCUUAUGCAUGCAAGUUGAGCGAAGCUUUUCAGUAGUUUACCACAGAAAAUGACUGAGCGGCGAACGGGUGAGUAACGCGUGAGCAAUCUACCUUAGUUACUGGGAUAGCCCGAGGAAACUCGGAUUAAUACCGGAUAUUCUUAUUUUUUCACAUGAAGUUUUAAGGAAAGGUCAGCCGAACUAAGAUGAGCUCGCGUUCUAUCAGCUAGUUGGUGGGGUAAAAGCCUACCAAGGCUACGACGGAUAGCUGGUCUGAGAGGACGAUCAGCCACACUGGGACUGAGACACGGCCCAGACUCCUACGGGAGGCUGCAGCAGGGAAUAUUGCGCAAUGAGCGAAAGCUUGACGCAGCGACACCGCGUGUGGGAUGACGGUUCUAGGAUUGUAAACCACUUUCAGGAGGGAAGAAAAUGACGGUACCUCCACAAGAAGACCCGGCCAACUACGUGCCAGCCGCCGCGGUAAUUC
rnacentral:rRNA from 1 species